rnacentral:rRNA from 1 species
UUGUAGUCUGCAACCCGACUACAUGAAGCUGGAAUCGCUAGUAAUCGCGAAUCAGAAUGUCGCGGUGAAUACGUUCCCGGGUCUUGUACACACCGCCCGUCACACCAUGGGAGUCAGUAACGCCCGAAGUCAGUGACCCAACCGGAAGGAGGGAGCUGCCGAAGGCGGGACCGGUAACUGGGGUGAAGUCGUAACAAGGUAAC